AGGUUUUUUAUUAAAAUUAUUUAUUUAAUUUUAAAAUUUUUGUAAUAAUGAUAGAAUUAGUAUAUUUAUUUGUAUAUAAUUUUUACCUUGUGAAUUUAUUAUAAGGAACUAGGCAAAAUUGAUUCCCGCCUGUUUAUCAAAAACAUGUCCUCUUGAAAAUACUUUGAAGUCUAGCCUGUUCACUGAGCAGAUUUUUAAAGAGCCGCGUUAUUUUGACCGUGCAAAGGUAGCAUAAUCAUUAGUCUCUUAAUUAGUGGCUGGAAUGAAUGGCUUGACGAGAAAUCAACUGUCUCUUAAUAAAUUUUUGAAUUUAACUUUUGAGUCAAAAGGCUUAAAUUUUUCUUUAGGACGAGAAGAUCCUAUAGAGCUUAACAUUUUAUUUUUAUAUAUUUUUGUUUGUCUUUCUAUAUUUAAUGAUGAUGUUUUGUAGGGGUGACAUGAAGAAUGAAUAAACUCUUCAUUAUUAUAUCAUUUAUUUAUGUUUGUUGUUUUGAUCCAUAAUUUAUGAUCAUAAGAUUAAGUUACCUUAGGGAUAACAGCAUAAUUGUUUUUGAGAGCUCAUAUCGACAAAGCAGAUUGCGACCUCGAUGUUGGAUUAAGAAAAAUUUUGGGUGUAGUAGCCCAGUAAUUAGGUCUGUUCGACCUUUAAAUUCUUACAUGAUCUGAGUUCAGACUGGCGUGAGCCAGGUCGGUUUCUAUCCUAAGAUUAUUAAUUCAUAUUAGUACGAAAGGACCAUUUGGUUGAAAUAUGUUUUAUUUUAUUGAUUAAUAUUAAUUAAAUUA